AUUGAACGCUGGCGGCAUGCUUUACACAUGCAAGUCGAACGGCAGCGCGCGCUUCGGCCUGGCGGCGAGUGGCGAACGGGUGUGUAAUGCAUCGGAACGUGCCCCGUAGUGGGGGAUAGCCCGGCGAGAGCCGGAUUAAUACCGCAUACGACCUGCGGGUGAAAGCGGGGGACCGAAAGGCCUCGCGCUAUUGGAGCGGCCGAUGUCGGAUUAGCUAGUUGGUGGGGUAAAGGCUUACCUAGGCGACGAUCCGUAGCUGGUCUGAGAGGACGACCAGCCACACUGGGACUGAGACACGGCCCAGACUCCUACGGGAGGCAGCAGUGGGGAAUUUUGGACAAUGGGGGCAACCCUGAUCCAGCCAUGCCGCGUGCGGGAAGAAGGCCUUCGGGUUGUAAACCGCUUUUGUUCGGGAAGAAAUGCUCUGGGCUAAUACCCCGGGGGGAUGACGGUACCGGAAGAAUAAGCACCGGCUAACUACGUG
rnacentral:rRNA from 1 species